rnacentral:rRNA from 1 species
UACGUAGGGACCAAGCGUUGUUCGGAUUUACUGGGCGUAAAGGGCGCGUAGGCGGCGUGACAAGUCACUUGUGAAAUCUCUGGGCUUAACCCAGAACGGCCAAGUGAAACUGUUGUGCUAGAGUGCAGAAGGGGCAAUCGGAAUUCUCGGUGUAGCGGUGAAAUGCGUAGAUAUCGAGAGGAACACCAGAGGUGAAGACGGGUUGCUGGGCUGAAACUGACGCUGAGGCGCGAAAGCCAGGGGAGCAAACGGG